GUCUAAUUAGGAACUCGGUCCUCAGAUACCACCUAUUAUGGGGAUUAAAUAUUUGAUGAGCAUGACAAAUAUACUAAUUUAUGGAUCAGAUGGGAGAAAACGCGUUGCUGUUAUGUGUUCUCAAUUGGCUGCUUUCACAUUUUCCACUAGCGGGGUCUUUAACCACUACGCAUUCUGUAAAUUUCCUUUGCUUUUCUCAAAAGUGAAACAGACUCAUUCUCAUUUUUGCUCUUGUUAAGUCAACUCUCAUUCCAUUUGCAAAGGAGUUAAUUGUAGGAACUUUGGAGUAAACGGAGCGACAUAGAUCACAGGAAGCUUGCAAAGGCGAUCGGAUCUGAAGCUUGUUUUGAUAGGAAAUCAUGGCUCUGGAAGUUGUGGGUGGAGCUUUUCUCUCUUCUGCACUUGCUGUUCUGUUUGAUAGGAUGGCUUCCCGUCCGGUUGCUGACUUCAUCCGAGGAAAGAAGACCACCGCUGGGCUGCUCCACAAGUUGAAGAUUAAGUUGUUGUCUGUUAAUCAGUUGCUCGAUGAUGCAGAGGAGAAGCAACUCAGAAACUCUAGAGUCAGGGAUUGGCUUAAUGAGCUUAAAGAUGUUCUCUAUCAUACCGAUGACCUGUUGGAUGAAAUCAAGACUGAAGCUCUGCGUUGCAAGAUGGAACAAGAAGAUUCUGGAAGCAGCAGCACAAAUCAGGUACUCAAGUUUAGUUCUAUUUCCAUUCAUGAACUUGACAAAAGUCUGGAACCCAGGAUACUGGACAUUCUUGACAGAUUAGAACUUAUUGCCAACGAAAAAGAUGUGCUAGAUUUGAAAGAAGGAGUUAAGGACAGACCACAAGGAAGACUGCCUACAACUUCUUUGGUAGAAGAGUGUAGUGUAUAUGGAAGGGAUGAAGAAAAGGAGGCCAUUAUCAAAUUAUUGUUAGCGGAUGGUAUGACUGGAAAUAAGAUAGAUGUGCUUCCAAUUGUGGGCAUGGGUGGGCUUGGAAAGACCACUCUUGCUCAACUCGUCUACAACAAUGACAGAGUCGAGCAACAUUUUGACCAUCAAUCAUGGUCUUGUGUUUCAGAAGAAUUUGAUGUUAUCAAAAUAACACAGACAAUUUACGGGGCGGUCACUUCACAAACUUGUACCAUCACAGACCUAAACAUGCUUCAAGUUAAACUAAAGAAGGCGUUGUCAGGGAAGAAAUUUCUCUUUGUUCUUGAUGAUGUUUGGACUGUGACUAAUGACGAGUGGGAUCUCUUAAGCCGACCCUUUGAGGGUGGAGGUCAUGGAAGUAAGAUUAUUGUCACAACACGUCAUGAAGAUGUUGCAGGUAUUAUAGGUACCCUUCAAAGUCAACAUCUAAUGCAACUAUCUGAGGAAAAUUGCUGGUCGUUGUUCUCAAAACAUGCCUUCAAGAAUGCAGGUGCCACUGCAGAUCCGUUGCUUGAAGUGAUUGGAAAACAGAUUGCUCUAAAGUGUAGAGGACUCCCUUUAGCUGCAAAAUCACUUGGGGGUCUUUUAUGUUCUGAACCAAAUAUUGAGAGAUGGGAAGAAGUAUUGAACAAUGACAUAUGGGAGUUGCAAGAUAAAAAGAAUGGCAUUUUGCCAGCUCUAUGGUUGAGCUACCAUUAUCUACCUCCACAUCUGAAGCGCUGUUUUGCGUACUGUUCCAUAUUUCCUCAAGAUCAUAUGUUUCACAAACCAGAUCUGGUUUUGUUGUGGAUGGCUGAAGAUCUCUUACCGUCGAAAUCGAAGACUACAUUUGAGGAAGUCGGAGGGAACUACUUUGAUGAUCUAGUGUCAAGGUCGUUUUUUCAACGUGUACUAUAUCAGCACUUCACAAUGCAUGACCUCAUUCAUGACUUGGCAAACUUUGUCUCCGGAGAGUUUUGUGUUAGGUUGGAGGACAAUGACUCAGUGCUGGACAACAAAAGCAAGAGUCGCCACUUUUUUUGUGUGACCCCCGGUUUUAAUCAAUGGGACAGUUUUUAUGAAGCCAAGUAUCUGCGGACCUUUCUUGUACCAGAUUCGAUAUCCUUCCAAUGCUCCAGAGGUCCUGACUUAGAUAAUGGUAUACUCUUGAAACUCACGGGUUUAAGAGUGCUCAAAUUAUUAGGGUACAAUAUUGGUGAGCUCCCUAGUUCAAUUAGCAAGUUGAAGCAUCUAAGGCACUUGGACUUGUCUGGCACAUCAAUUAAAAAGUUACCUGAUGAAAUGUGUACUUUAUAUAAUUUACAGACUUUAUUGUUGUUGGGUUGUGAAUCUCUAGUUGAGUUGCCAACUGAUUUGGGCAGAUUAAUAAACUUGCGGCAUCUUGAUAUUAGACACACAAAGAUAAAAAAGAUGCCCCCAAGGAUGGGUAAAAUGAAAGAUCUCCAAACAUUAAGAGGUCAGUUUGCCCUAGACAAGUGCACUGGUGAUAACAUUGUCGAGAUUAAAGAGCUUCAGCAGUUGCGCGGAACACUCUGUAUCUCGGGGCUUCGUAAUAGUGUGCAUGUCACAGAUGCCAUUAUGAGAAAGAAGAAGCAUCUGGAUGAAUUAGUUUUGGAAUGGGGAGGCAAGUCUGGUGACACAGACGUCGAUAGACAAAAAGAGAGAGAUCUGCUGGAGAACCUCCAACCUCAUACAAACCUAAAAGAACUCACCAUUCAAUCUUAUGGGGGCACAAGAUUUCCAGGUUGGUUGGAAGAUCAUUCUAGUUUAUCUAAUCUGGUUCGCCUUCAACUUCUGGAUUGUGGAAAUUGUUGGUCGUUGCUAUCAGUUGAGCAGCUACCCUCCCUCCAAGAGCUUGAGAUUGAAGGAUUUAAUGGAGCGGUGACUGUGGGUUCUAAGCCUUCUCCUAAUCUUCGUAAGCUUAGUCUGAGGUCUUGUCCCGAGGUAACCGGGACAUUCAUGUUAGCCUGCUUCCCAAAGCUUGAAAUACUCAAAUUGAAGUAUGUUAAUGUAGAAUCUCUUGAUUCCCCUUCACUCCUCGCCCUAGUCAAACUUUCAAUAUUUUAUUGCACAAGUUUUGUUGGUUUUCGCGAUGGAGGGCUGGAUGCGCCCAACUUGAUGAUCUUAAAAGUCGAAACAUGUCCGAAACUGAGGUCAUUGCCGCAACACAUGCACAACCUUCUCCCAUCUCUCAGCUACUUGGAACUAUCUGAUUGUCCAGAAUUGGAAUCAUUUCCCGAAGGGGGAUUGCCGUCUAAGUUGGAAGUCUUGCGCAUCCUGCGUUGCAAGAAACUCGUCAUUGGAAACCGUAUGCAGUGGGGUCUACCAACACUCACCUCUCUUAAAUUCUUGAGCGUCCACUUUGAGGGAUGUGAACAAGUUGUAGAUUCAUUUCCAGACGAGGGGCUGCUGCCCACCACUCUCUCACGACUCCAGAUCAACAGUAUUUCGAAGCUGGACGGCAAGGGGUUUAGGCAACUCACCUCUCUUAAACUGUUGGAAAUUCGCAAUUGCCCAGAACUCCGGUGCUUGCCAGAUGAAGGGCUACCCACUUCUAUUAAUUAUCUGGACAUCUAUGAUUGUCCUUUACUAGAACAACGUUGCCAGAGAGAGACAGGGGAAGAUUGGACCAAGAUUGCUCACAUCAAGACCAUUCGAAUCAAUCACAUAGUUAUACGACGUGCAAUGGUAAUUAUCCAAUUCUCUGUUCUGGCUCCAGGUGCUUUGUAAUUACCUAAUCAGAUGAUUCCACUGCUGAGAUAGAAACUUCCCGGAAUCUAUUUUACAACAAGGGCCUGACAGGACCACUCCCAGCAGAAAUUGGGAGUUUGAAGAAGCUAUCUAACAUAGUCCUGGUUGGUUGCAGCUUCUCUAGUCUCAUCCCUCCUACUAUAGGGUCCCUACAGGAGCUAAUAUCUCUGCUCUUCGAAAGUAAUCAACUCAUUGGCGGCAUCCUUUCCAGCCUUGGACUUGUAAAGUCUUUGGAGGCGAUUUGAUAGAAACAUGUUAACUGGGCCUAUUCCUCUGAGCCUCUACAGUCUUACAAAUGUCUCUCAGCUGAUUCUCUACGUUAUGUCUUUGUUUUGGACCACAUCAGAGUGUUUUCAUAGAUGAAGCAGUGAUUGAAAGAAUGUAAUUGCAGGUGGCUCUAGUACUUUCAGCACCAACUUCAUUGUCGCCUCUUGGUUCCGUGGUUGAUCCGGUUACUAUCCAGUUUAGAGCCUCUGAAUCAUCAAUUAUUGAAAAGUUCUAGGUACAGGUCUGAGCUAAGCAUUCUCUAUGCAGAUCUUCUUUUCUGAAGUUUUCUUAGGAUUCCCUCCUCCCAUAAUUGGCAGGGGAAUGUUUGCUGCUGUUUAUAGGCUGUUGUUUUCUAAUAAAAGAAAACUGUCGCAAACAGGAUGUGUACAAAGAAUUUCCUGAGUUGUGUAAAUGAUGCUAAGAAGUGACACAGCGAAAUGAAUCCCAAGAAUGAUGGAGGGAUCCAUUCGGAAUGGAGGAGAUGGAAUUCCAUGAGGAAGUGGAAAUGGAAUAUGCAAAAGAGAAAUCUGGUGACAAGUCUGCACAGAAGGCUGCAAUUAAGGCUUACAAAAAAUCAAAGAAUUCUGAUGCUGCACAUCAGGAUUGGGAAGCAAACCUUUGUGCUUGGUAAUUGAUUGCUGGCUUGCUGCAAGUGGAAUGGAUAUCUUAUCAUGCCCAAUAUGCUUGUAGAAGAGUUGAACUGAAGCAGUAAUGAAUUAGUCAAACAAUGUUCAAAUCUUCAACUUUUUUUUCUUUUUCUAUUUGCAUUUGAGUGUGACGUUAUAAUCUUGAGAUAAUGAGAGUAGAUUACUAGACAAUCUCAUGUUAUAUUAGUCUUCAAUUCUUGCAUCAGAAGUUUGUCUUGCGACACUUCGGCAUGAAAAUUCCAAAGUUUCAAGUUUCAUAAACACAAACAAUUCAAAUUUCUUUACUUAAAUUUGAUCUUUCAUGCCUUUGUCA